UAGUCUGGGAAACGUGCCUGAUGAGGGGGAGUAACUACUGGAAACGGUAGCUAAUACCGCAUAAUGUCGCAAGACCAAAGUGGGGGACCUUCGGGCCUCAUGCCAUCAGAUGUGCCCAGAUGGGAUUAGCUAGUAGGUGGGGUAAUGGCUCACCUAGGCGACGAUCCCUAGCUGGUCUGAGAGGAUGACCAGCCACACUGGAACUGAGACACGGUCCAG
rnacentral:rRNA from 1 species